UGCAAGUAGGACGCACAGUUUAUACCGUAGCUUGCUACACCAUAGACUGUGAGUUGCGAACGGGUGAGUAACGCGUAGGUAACCUGCCUAUUAGAGGGGGAUAACUAUUGGAAACGAUAGCUAAUACCGCAUAACAGUAUGUAACACAUGUUAGAUGUUUGAAAGAUGCAAUUGCAUCGCUAGUAGAUGGACCUGCGUUGUAUUAGCUAGUAGGUAGGGUAAAGGCCUACCUAGGCAACGAUACAUAGCCGACCUGAGAGGGUGAUCGGCCACACUGGGACUGAGACACGGCCCAGACUCCUACGGGAGGCAGCAGUAGGGAAUCUUCGGCAAUGGGGGGAACCCUGACCGAGCAACGCCGCGUGAGUGAAGAAGGUUUUCGGAUCGUAAAGCUCUGUUGUUAAGGAAGAACGAGUGUGAGAAUGGAAAGUUCAUACUGUGACGGUACUUAACCAGAAAGGGACGGCUAACUACGUGCCAGCAGCCGCGGUAAUACGUAGGUCCCGAGCGUUGUCCGGAUUUAUUGGGCGUAAAGCGAGCGCAGGCGGUUAGAAAAGUCUGAAGUGAAAGGCAGUGGCUCAACCAUUGUAGGCUUUGGAAACUGUUUAACUUGAGUGCAGAAGGGGAGAGUGGAAUUCCAUGUGUAGCGGUGAAAUGCCUAGAUAUAUGGAGGAACACCGGUGGCGAAAGCGGCUCUCUGGUCUGUAACUGACGCUGAGGCUCGAAAGCGUGGGGAGCGAACAGGAUUAGAUACCCUGGUAGUCCACGCCGUAAACGAUGAGUGCUAGGUGUUAGGUCCUUUCCGGGACUUAGUGCCG
rnacentral:rRNA from 1 species